AUCAAAGGUGUCAUCAAAGACUCCUUUCAACUUAUGGAACUAUCCUCCCUAAAUUACUGCCCUGAUGAAGCCCUGAUGUUGUGGUGAGGUGACAUGCUGCGAGACCAGCUGAUCCUUAACAAGAGUGUGUGAUAGGGCAGAACAGGCCAGAUGAGAGACAGAAGAUAACCACAAGUAAGCACAGCUCCUACCUUCCUGGUCAUCAACUCAAGGAAGAGAAUAUUUGUGGUCCCUUCCAGUUCUCAUGGCUGAUAUUGAGUUUCUGAAGCUGAACAGCUGCUAUUGUUUCCAGGAAAUUUCAAAUGACAAUUAAAUGUUCU
rnacentral:lncRNA from 1 species